UUCCGGUUGAUCCUGCCGGACCUGACUGCUAUCGGAUUGAUACUAAGCCAUGCGAGUUUUUGUAGCAAUACAAGGCAGACGGCUCAGUAACACGUAGUCAAUCUAACCUAUGGACGAGGAUAACCUCGGGAAACUGAGAAUAAUACUCGAUAGAUCAUUAUGCCUGGAACGGUUUAUGGUUCAAAUGAAUUUCGCCAUAGGAUGGGACUGCGGUCUAUCAGCUUGUUGGUGAGGUAAUGGCCCACCAAGGCUAUUACAGAUACGGGCUCUGAGAGGAGAAGCCCGGAGAUGGGUACUGAGACACGGACCCAGGCCCUAUGGGGCGCAGCAGGCGAGAAAACUUUGCAAUGUGCGAAAGCACGACAAGGUUAAUCCGAGUGAUUCCUGCUAAAGGAAUCUUUUGUUAGUCAUAAUACCACUAAUGAAUAAGGGGUGGGCAAGUUCUGGUGUCAGCCGCCGCGGUAAAACCAGCACCUCAAGUGGUCAGGAUGAUUAUUGGGCCUAAAGCAUCCGUAGCCGGCUCUGUUAGUUUUCGGUUAAAUCUAUAUGCUCAACAUAUAGGCUGCCGGGAAUACUACAAAGCUAGGAAGUGGGAGAGGUAGACGGUACUCCGUAGGAAGGGGUAAAAUCCUUUGAUCUAUGGAUGACCACCAGUGGCGAAGGCGGUCUACCAGAACAUGUUCGACGGUGAGGGAUGAAAGCUGGGGGAGCAAACCGGAUUAGAUACCCGGGUAGUCCCAGCUGUAAACUAUGCAAACUCAGUGAUGCAUUGGCUUGUGGCCAGUGCAGUGCCGCAGAGAAGUCGUUAAGUUUGCCGCCUGGGAAGUACGUACGCAAGUAUGAAACUUAAAGGAAUUGGCGGGGGAGCACCACAAGGGGUGAAGCCUGCGGUUCAAUUGGAGUCAACGCCGGA
rnacentral:rRNA from 1 species